CAGAGAGAGAGCGUUGCGCAUAAUGCCAAUAGCUGACAGACUCCCGAUCCAUAUUAUCCACUAGUCCACUCAAACGUUUGGUUGGAGUUCAUUCCACAGGCAUGUCAAAACAGAAGGCUAACAAAAUCACGUGCCUGAUUGCAAAGCUAAUUGCUGUACGGAAAGCUUCCUUUUCCAUGAUAGUCAGGGAGUGUUUAAGCAGUUGAUAGACA